UACGUAGGGGGCAAGCGUUGUCCGGAAUCACUGGGCGUAAAGGGCGCGUAGGUGGUUUGAUAAGGGUGUGGUGAAAGUCCGGAGCUCAACUCCGGAUCUGCCGUGCCGACUGUCAAACUCGAGGGCUGUAGAGGCAGACGGAAUUCCGGGUGUAGCGGUGGAAUGCGUAGAUAUCUGGAGGAAUACCGGUGGCGAAGGCAGCUCGCUGGGACGGUACUGACGCUAAGGCGCGAAAGCGUGGGGAGCGAACAGG
rnacentral:rRNA from 1 species